rnacentral:rRNA from 1 species
GGAAUAUUGGGCAAUGCCCGAAAGGGUGACCCAGCAACGCCGCGUGGAGGAUGAAUGCCGUAAGGUUGUAAACUCCUGUUAGAGGGGAAGAACAAUCCCGAUCGACUCGGGAUCUGACUGUACCCUCAGAGAAAGCCCCGGCUAACUACGUGCCAGCAGCCGCGGUAAUACGUAGGGGGGCAAGCGUUGUCCGGAUUUACUGGGUGUAAAGGGCGCGCAGGUGGGUUUGCAAGUCAGAGGUGAAAUCUCACGGCUUAACCGUGAAAGUGCCCUUGAUACUGCAAAUCUUGAGUUCGGAAGAGAGAGACGGAAUUCCAGGUGUAGUGGUGAAAUACGUAGAUAUCUGGAAGAACACCAGUUGCGAAGGCGGUCUCUUGGUCCGAUACUGACACUCAGGCGCGAAAGCGUGGGUAGCAAAC